GACGUAGGGGGCCAGCGUUGCUCGGAAUUACUGGGUGUAAAGGGUUCGUAGGCGGUUUGUCGCGUCUGCCGUGAAAUUUCGAGGCUCAACCUCGAACUUGCGGUGGGUACGGGCAGACUAGAGUGUGGUAGGGGAGACUGGAAUUCCUGGUGUAGCGGUGAAAUGCGUAGAGAUCAGGAGGAACACCCAUGGCGAAGGCAGCGCUCUGGUCGGCAUCUGACGCUGAGAGGCGAAAGCGUGGGGAGCGAACGGG
rnacentral:rRNA from 1 species